AGUGAACGCUGGCGGCGUGCUUAACACAUGCAAGUCGAACGAGAACGGAUUGUAGCUUGCUAUAAUUGUCAGCUAAGUGGCGCACGGGUGAGUAAUAUAUAGGUAAUGUGCCCUAGAGAAGAGGAUAACAGUUGGAAACGACUGCUAAGACUCUAUAUGCCUUUAAGACAGAAGUCUGCAAGGGAAAUAUUUAUAGCUCUAGGAUCAGCCUGUACAGUAUCAGUUAGUUGGUGAGGUAAUGGCUCACCAAGACAAUGACGCUUAACUGGUUUGAGAGGAUGAUCAGUCACACUGGAACUGAGACACGGUCCAGACUCCUACGGGAGGCAGCAGUGGGGAAGUAUUGCACAAUGGACGGAAGUACUGAUGCAGCAACGACCGCGUGGAGGA
rnacentral:rRNA from 1 species